rnacentral:snRNA from 1 species
GGAUGUGAGGAUGAUCUGGCUGCGACAUCUGUCACCCCAUUGAUCAACAGGGUUGAUUCGGCUGAUCUGGCUGGCUAGGCUGGUGUCCCCUUCCUCCCUCACCACUCCAAGUGUGUCCCUCCAAAGCUGAGUGCUUGGCCAAAGAGGAUGACCUUCCACAAUAGAGGAGGACCAUUCUUCAGUCAAGGGUAUAGGAGUUGCUGUGCUCCCCUGCUAGAAUCUCCAAACAAGCUCUCGAGAACCUUCUGACAUGACAGCUUCUCAGCAAAGGAAUGUCCUCCAUCAGGAACUAUUGAGUUCUCC